GGGUCUACCCAUUGGUCAGGCUUAAUUGUCUGCACUGGUGAGAUGGAUCUCUACCUUCUGAGGAACUUUCAUGCCAUUUAUUUGGUGUGAUGGGAAAUCAGGACUGUUACUUUGAAAAAAUUAGAGUGUUUAAAGCAGACUAUCGUCUGAAUACAUUAGCAUGGAAUAAUGAAAUAGGACGGACUGAUUCUAUUUCGUUGGUUUCUAGGAUCACCGUAAUGAUUAAUAGGGAUAGUUGGG
rnacentral:rRNA from 1 species